GACGAACGCUGGCGGCGUGCCUAAUACAUGCAAGUCGAACGCAGUGGGGACGGGUGAGUAACACGUGGGUAACCUCCCAUCAGAGGGGAUAACACUUGGAAACAGGUGCUAAACCGCUACUGAUGGAUGGACCCGCGGGGCAGUAGCCAGUUGGUGAGGAAACGGCUCACCAAGGCCACGAUGCAUAGCCGACCUGAGAGGUUGGUCGGCCACACUGGGACUGGGACCCGGCCCAGACUCUGACGGGAGGCAGCAGUAGGGAAUCUUGGGCAAUGGACGAAAGUCUGACCGCGCAACGCCGCGUGAGUGAAGAAGGUUUUCGGAUCGUAAAACUCUGUUGUUAGAGAAGCGUUAUCUAACCAGAAAGCCACGGCUAACUACGUGCCAGCCGCCGCGGUAAUUC
rnacentral:rRNA from 1 species